ensembl:lncRNA
GUGGGGUGUGGAAGAAGGUUGUGUCAUGUGGACAGGCGAUGUCCUGGCUGUGCUGAGUGACAUGGGGGUCUGGGUGGUGGCACUGGUGGUCAUGGUUAGCGGAGGAGUGGAGUGUGUGGUUCCAGUAACCACGGUGGCUGGAUGGGUGGUACUGGUUGGCCUCAUGGUGGAAGCAGAAGAGACCGUGUGUGGGCUGGCUGGCGUGCUGGGAGAGGUAGGUGCUACUGAGGUCGUCGUGAGGGUUGGAGAGACACUGGGAGGUAGGGUCUGGGGUUCAGAUGUGGUUGGAAAGGUGCUGGUGGUCGUGAGCGACGUUCCCGAGGUGGGUUCCGUUGUUUGUGGAGGGUGGGACACGGGCAGCGUGCGUGCGCUAUGGCUGGGUGAAUGGGUCUGCAGCGUGCUUGACGUGAUUUCCGUGUGUUGCAUUGUUGAUGCUGUCGCGGUGCCCCUGCUCUCCCUGGUAUGCUGUGUGGCCAGGGCGGUCUCUCCCAAAGUGUAUUGUUCUGUUGUCUGUGUGAGUGUGACCGGCCCUGUUCCUGGCAUUUUCUCUUGGGUGCUUGUCCCUGUGGGUGUAAAGGAGUGUCAUCAUGCAGUCUGUCUCUCCCUUUAGACCUCUGGUUUUUGCUCCCGUCUUGUUCCCUGUACCCCUUUCAGGCCAUCUGGGUUCCUUGAGCCAUUCAUAGGCGCUGUUACUCUGAACUUGAGGUUCCUCUUCCUCCCCACUUGUGCAGUCCCGGAUGUGCCGUUUGUGGUACUGGUUUUCGGCAUGGGGCCCCAGGGUUUGGUGUGUGCGUGGUUCCAGGCUGCCCCCCGUGUCCCCAUAUGCUGGUGGGCCCAUCCUUCCCCUUUAUCCUAUGGGAAGUCCUGGACUUCCUCCAUGGCUGACCUGCCGUGCUCAGCUGUGCUGGGACUCGUGGCCUGGGACUCCAGGUGUCCCAUGGGCCCUUGCUCACCUUGUCCAGGAUUCCUUGUCCACGUGCUCACGGUCAGUGGUACCACUGUGGUCCGUGCUGUGGACUGAGCUGUGGAUGUAGUGGCUGGGCUGGGGGAUGAUGCUGUGGGCUCUGUCGUUGCUGUAGUGACUGUAUAUCCUGUGGCUGUUGACAUCACCGUGACUGUAGGCACCCGAGGAGAGGUGGCAGGUGUGGUGACUGCCGUGGUGGUCGGAGGGGAUUCUGCAGGGAACAGGCCCUCUUUGUGUUCCCCAGCCCGUGUCUGAGGUCCCUCCCUUUCCUGAGACCCAGGCCCUUUCCUGCCUCAGCCUCCUGGAGGAGUACUGGCCUCUUGGCUUCCCUGCUCUGACCCUGCACCUUCCAUUGUCUGUGUGGCAGUGGUGUCCUGGUGCCAGGAGCAGUGAACACAGGGUCCUCUGGGCCCGCUGGGUGGACAGAUGUCCGGUCCCCUCAGUGCCUGGGCAGCAGGACAUGUCCUCCUGCCCUGUGGUCUCACUGCACUGUGGACCUGAGGGGCUGGUGCGGGCCUCCGAGGUUCUAGGGGACCCCCCUAGAGGCCAGCUCUGGGUCGGAAGCUGAGUUUUGCCGCUCUUACCUCUGACCCAGAUGGCACGCCCCCCACCCAGCACCAGGGACACUGAGGCUGGCCCAGCCUGGGGGCUUGGUGUGGGGGUGGUCACCUGAGGUGGGUGGCAGCGGUGGCGAUGUGGGGGGUGGCGCUGCAAGAGGAGAGGUGUUCAGGAGCGGCCCCUCC